rnacentral:rRNA from 1 species
AUACGGAGGGAGCUAGCGUUGUUCGGAAUUACUGGGCGUAAAGCGUACGUAGGCGGAUUGACAAGUUGGGGGUGAAAUCCCAGGGCUUAACCCUGGAACUGCCCUCAAAACUAUCGAUCUAGAGACCGGGAGAGGUAAGCGGAAUUCCUAGUGUAGAGGUGAAAUUCGUAGAUAUUAGGAAGAACACCAGUGGCGAAGGCGGCUUACUGGACCGGUACUGACGCUAAGGUACGAAAGCGUGGGGAGCAAACAGGAUUAGAAACCCCGGUAGUCC